rnacentral:rRNA from 1 species
ACUCCUACGGGAGGCAGCAGUGGGGAAUCUUGGACAAUGGGCGCAAGCCUGAUCCAGCCAUGCCGCGUGAGUGAUGAAGGCCCUAGGGUCGUAAAGCUCUUUCGCCAGGGAUGAUAAUGACAGUACCUGGUAAAGAAACCCCGGCUAACUCCGUGCCAGCAGCCGCGGUAAUACGGAGGGGGUUAGCGUUGUUCGGAAUUACUGGGGCGUAAAGCGUACGUAGGCGGAUUAGUUAGUCAGAGGUGAAAUCCCAGGGCUCAACCCUGGAACUGCCUUUGAUACUGCUAGUCUUGAGUUCGAGAGAGGUGAGUGGAAUUCCGAGUGUAGAGGUGAAAUUCGUAGAUAUUCGGAGGAACACCAGUGGCGAAGGCGGCUCACUGGCUCGAUACUGACGCUGAGGUACGAAAGUGUGGGGAGCAAACAGGAUUAGAUACCCUGGUAGGAUAGCG